CAACAUUUGUAUUUGUAUUUCAUUACAUCAAAAUGAGACAAUAUUUUCCUUGGAUUAAAGAAAAAAGAAGAGCAGCCCCAUGUCGGUGAUGCACAGGGGAAUGCUGCCAACAAAAAGAGGCGUUCUAUUUUAGACAAGAGGUCUCAAACAGUCCUUGUAAAGGAAGACUAUUGUAAACUGUGAAACACACUCUUCCUUCCCCUGGAGAUUCCAGUGGUGAAAACAAUUCUGAUAUGGUUUCCUCCACUCAACUUCAGAGCUUCUGCUGAGAGAAGAAUGAGCUUUUACCAGUAGGAAGCUCAUAACACAACUUGAAGCAUUGAAUCUCCAGGAAUGCGUGAAGGAUUUUUCUCCUCC
ensembl:lncRNA